CACAUAUCACAUGUUAGAGGAGGAGCACUUCUCUCUUCUAUAAAACGUCUGCUGGCUUCAUCUGUAACCUGAGAUCCUGCAAACAAGGAUAAAACUUUUCUCAGACUACAAUGUCAAUGUCUGACAACAUCAAGAAACAAUCUGGGAUGGAGAAUGAGGCGAAGAAAAAGGAAAAUUCCAGCCUUGACCAGCUUGAAACUGAGAUCAGUAAACUCAGCAUAAAGGACUCACCUGACAGAAAAGAUAUCAGAGUCAAAUUUUUGAUCAAUGUUGCAGUGGGAGUGACACCUGAAAUGAGCACAAAUGCUGAAUCACAUUGUCAGAAGUUUCUUGAUCUUCUGAAAAGUCAAGCCUUCACGGAAGAGGACGGGUUACGUUAUGAGGACAUUGCUGUCGUUUUUUGCCUUAAUGGAAAAGAAUCAGAUGAAGAAAUUAUAAAAACUGAGUUGGGAAAAACUGUUGAAAGUGAAAUCACUUUUAAAAAAUGGGGCUUUAAAUGGCCAGAAAAUAUGGAAAUCCCAUAUCGACUUAUAAGAGAGGAAAAUAAACAAUCUAAGCACACCAAGGAAUUUGUAAGAAAUUUCAGGGAGAACAACCCUGAUGUUCCAAUCUACUUCUGCUUUUUUGAUGCAGACACAGUUGAUUUUAAUGAGGUGUUGAGUUCUUACAUAGAUGUAAUCAGUGAGCACAACUACCCAACAGUGAUGUCAACUGGUUUUCUGUUCCCUGAAGACAGUAAGUUCAGAAUACAGAGUGACCAUGACCGAGAAGUGCGCAUAAUAACAGCUGAGCACUUUCCUCUGGGCACUUACUACCCAGAGCCUAACUUCUGUGUGCUUCUACCUGAUGGACGUGACACUCUUCCUGAGUGUUUUAAUGAUGCAGAAGAGACACAAAUGAACAUGGAAUCUCCUGUUUUGAUAAGACAAGUAAAACAACGCAAGGGUUUCUCUGCUGUGUUUGCAAAAAAAAAAACAAUUAUUACACGUGAUUCAAGACAAAAACAUAGUCAUACCAAACCACGGACCUGGGCAAUUAGCGCUUAUACACACAGAGAGCUUAUAAUCACU
ensembl:lncRNA